AUUUAUUAAAGUUCGAUUUUAUGAUCAAGAGCUUUCAUUACCUAUAAAUUCCAAUGGGAAUUUAAAAUUAUCUAUUGAAGCAAUAUUUCCCUCAAGCAUCUGGGUUAACCUAUUCUGCAAAUAAUCAAAAAUGUGGCUUGCCUAUUGAAUCGGAAGAAAUUUUAAUUAACCAUAAAAUUGAGUAUUAUGAUGUACACGUUGGACAAGAUUUAAAAAGUUCCAUCUCAAGCAAGAAAAGAAAACUAGUCCAUGAAAUGAUCAAUAAAAUCCAACUUAGCCAAGGAGUAAAUUCUUCUAAAACUCACAUGACGAAAAUGAAGAACAAGUGGGCUGAUUGUUCUACUGUAGUCUCAGCACAACCUACAUUAAAAAGAGUACGACUUGCAUGGCUAGUAAAAAGAGGAGAUCGUUAUGAGCAAAUGAAGAAACCUAUAGGUGGAGUCAGAGAAGUACCUUUAGAAGUAGGCAAGAAAUAUUUAGUUAGUGAUAUAAAAAAAAAAUUGCGAUAGAGAAGUUUUCUUGCAAUAGCGAAGUAUCAUUUCAAAAUUCGGAUGUACGUCUUGGUCUUUUUGAUCGCACUACACUAACCAGCUUUAGAGACAGCAAGGGUAUUUCCUGUGACUUGUGGACUUUUCUAAAAGAGCAAAAAUCGAGAUUAUUUACUUUGCAUAUAAUAACGUCUCCAAAAGGAUGUGCUGAGACAUGUGAACAACUUAAAACUAUCCAAUCUUUUCACCACGAGAAUGCUAACCCUCAAUUAUCUCGGCCUAAUAAAGAUUUAAAAGGAUCAACAGCAGUUUCUCACAAAAAUUCCGCACCUUUAAAAAAUACUAUUUUUAUGAAUUAUGAAGUGAUCCACCAAUCCGAGUACACUGGUGAUUAUUGCAUAUGUUAUCUACAUAAAAAUGAUUUAUACAACCAUAAAUUGGAUGAAUAUGGUUAUAUGCCAAUUGCUGAAUUUAAUCCGAUUGAUGCUGGUCAUAAAAUAGCUGAAAUUCAAGUGGAUGACAAAGUUUUGUUAUUAAUAUAUACAUCCAAUGAUGAUUUGUCCCGAGACUUUAAUUUCCCAGCAGUAGAUAUUCUUGAUGAUGACAACCAUUAUAUAUUGUAUGAUGUAAAUGAAUUUCAUGGGAGAUGUAAAGACAAAAGUGGCGUGGGAGUAAUAACUAACUGUACUGA